rnacentral:rRNA from 1 species
UACGGAGGGUGCGAGCGUUGUUCGGAAUCACUGGGCGUAAAGCGCGUGUAGGCGGCCCACUAAGUCUGAUGUGAAAGCCCGGGGCUCACCCCCGGAAGUGCACUGGAAACUGGUGGACUCGAGUCCCGGAGAGGAGAGUGGAAUUCCUGGUGUAGCGGUGAAAUGCGUAGAUAUCAGGAGGAACACCGGUGACGAAGGCGGCUCUCUGGACGGUGACUGACGCUGAGACGCGAAAGCGUGGGGAGCAAACAGG